UACGUAGGGACCAAGCGUUGUUCGGAUUUACUGGGCGUAACGGGCGCGUAGGCGGCAAUUCAAGUCAGCUGUGAAAUCUCCGGGCUUAACUCGGAACGGUCAGCUGAUACUGCUUUGCUAGAGUGCAGAAGGGGCAAUCGGAAUUCUUGGUGUAGCGGUGAAAUGCGUAGAUAUCAAGAGGAACACCUGAGGUGAAGACGGGUUGCUGGGCUGACACUGACGCUGAGGCGCGAAAGCUAGGGUAGCAAACGGG
rnacentral:rRNA from 1 species